AAUUAUGAUGUAUAUAUGGUUUAGUUGUCUUUGCUUUGCUGCCUUUGUGAUGAGUAAACUGCACUGUGCAAACACUAUCUGUGUCAAGUAUAAUUUGGCAUUUCCCAUGUGUUGAGAUAUGUAACUUUUAGCAUGUGAAUCGCGCUCCCUUGUUAAAAUGUUGUAAUUGGAAGGGAGAUUCAACUUGUGGAAAUUUGCUCCAACUCAUCAAUAUCACUCUACUAUUCUAUAUCAUUGUAAAUUGCAGGUGAUGCUAUGAAGAAGCUUUUGAGGAAAAACAACAGUAAUGGAAGGGAGAUUCAUAUGUGUUUUAGUUAUUUUUGGCUAAAAAUAUGGAAUGGAUAAAAUUGUUGCAUGCCUGCACGAUUCUAUGAGGUCUUUUCUUUCUGGUUCAGAUAGCAAGAAUGCUCAAAAUGUGAUAGGUGAUUUUUGAAUAGCAGUUAUUUGGGGAAUAUAUAUGCUACACUUGUCAUUCUCAAAAUGUGUGUGUUCGGAUGGAGCUGGAUCAUCAUGCUGGGCAAGAACCAAAGAUCAUCGCGGCCACGCUUC